rnacentral:misc_RNA from 1 species
CGAAAGGAGUCUCCGUACUCUCCAACCCUUUGUGAACAUACCGAACGUCAGUUGCCUCGGCGGGAGGCCCCUGGGAGGGGCCCCGGGGCCCGGCCAGAGCCGGGCUCCCGCCGGGGCGGCGCCCCCAAACUCUUGCUGCACCCCAGUGGAACGUCCGAGUAACAAACAAAAAAACAAGUUA